rnacentral:piRNA from 1 species
UAGCAAGGCUCAAGGUGGCAGUGCUAAG